UACAGAGGUCUCGAGCGUUGUUCGGAUUCAUUGGGCGUAAAGGGUGCGCAGGCGGCCGUGUGUGUGAGGCGUGAAAGCCCGGGGCUUAACCCCGGAAUUGCACCUCAAACUACACGGCUAGAGCAUUGGAGAGGGUAGCGGAAUUCACGGUGUAGCAGUGAAAUGCGUAGAUAUCGUGAGGAACACCAGAGGCGAAGGCGGCUACCUGGACAAUUGCUGACGCUCAGGCACGAAAGCGUGGGGAGCAAAAGGG
rnacentral:rRNA from 1 species